rnacentral:rRNA from 1 species
AUUGAACGCUAGCGGGAUGCCUUACACAUGCAAGUCGAACGGAGUGGCGAACGGGUGAGUAAUGUAUCGGAACGUGCCCAGUCGCGGGGGAUAACUACGCGAAAGCGUAGCUAAUACCGCAUACUAUUGGAGCGGCCGAUAUCGGAUUAGCUGGGUGGGGGGGUAACGGCUCACAAAGGCGACGAUCCGUAGCAGGUGUGAGAGGACGAACAGCCAACCUGGGACUGAGACACGGCCCAGACUCCUACGGGAGGCAGCAGUGGGGAAUUUUGGACAAUGGGGGAAACCCUGAUCCGGCCAUCCCGCGUGUGGGAGGAAGGCCUUCGGGUUGUAAAGCACGUUUCGCGGGAAGGCGGUACCUGCAGAAGAAGCACCGGCUAACUACGUGCCAGCAGCCGCGGUAAUUC